rnacentral:rRNA from 1 species
UAUGUGAUCGUCUCUCGCAUAUCAAUAAGCGGAGGAAAAGAAACUAACAAGGAUUCCCCUAGUAACGGCGAGUGAAGCGGGAAGAGCUCAAAUUUGAAAUCUUAAAGGGUUUCCCUUUACGAAUUGUAGUUUAAAGAAGUGUUUUCUGUUGAGGUUUUGGUAAAAGUUCUUUGGAAUAGGACAUCAUAGAGGGUGAGAAUCCCGUAUUUGACCUUUACUUUCAACUUUGUGAUACACUUUCAAAGAGUCGGAUUGUUUGGGAAUGCAGUCCAAAAUGGGUGGUAAAUUUCAUCUAAAGCUAAAUAUUGGCGAGAGACCGAUAGCGAACAAGUACCGUGAGGGAAAGAUGAAAAGAACUUUGAAAAGAGAGUUAAACAGUACGUGAAAUUGUCAAAAGGGAAGCGUUUGACACCAGUGUUGUUUUUCUGAAAAUCAAUUAAAGAACUGUUUAUGCUAAGCUGUUUAGACUUUAUCAGCUAUCUGUUUAGUUUUGAGCUUUUCUUUAAUGCACUUUUCAGUUAACAAGUCAGCAUCAAUUUCUUUUGCUGUAAAAAAGCUUGAGGAAGGUGGCUUGAGAUUCGUCUUAAGUGUUUAUAGCCUCUUGCCUAUGCAGUCGGAGAGAUUGAGGUCUGCAGCGUAGAUCCUUCGGGGCUAAAUGCAUUUGUGCUAAGUUAUAGCAUUUUAUAGACAACUUGUUGACUAUGAUUUGUCUUGUAGCUUACUCGCUUAUGUUAUUUUACCUACGCUUAGGAUGUUGAUAUCGCGCUCUCACUG